AGCCUGCCCAGUGACUUAGUUCAACGGCCGCGGUAUCCUAACCGUGCGAAGGUAGCGUAAUCACUUGUUCUUUAAAUGAGGACUCGUAUGAAUGGCACCACGAGGGUUACACUCUCCUUUCUCUAAUCAAUGAAACUGAUCUCCCCGUGAAGAAGCGGGGAUACACAUAUUAGACGAGAAGACCCUAUGGAGCUUCAAACUAUACAGCACUGGCUUUUAUCUUUUUCCACUUCAGAGUUUUUAAUUUUAUUCUAGCCUUUUGACUAUUAGUUUUAGGUUGGGGUGACCACGGAGCAAAAAUUAACCUCCACGAUGAACAGACCAACUCUUGAGCUAAAAGCCACAACUUUAAGCACCAAUAAACUGACACAAAUUGACCCAAUAUUUUGACCAACGAACCAAGUUACCCUAGGGAUAACAGCGCAAUCCACCCCAAGAGCCCCUAUCGACAGGUGGGUUUACGACCUCGAUGUUGGAUCAGGGUAUCCCAGUGGUGCAGCCGC
rnacentral:rRNA from 1 species